rnacentral:rRNA from 1 species
UACAGAGGGGGCGAGCGUUGUUCGGAAUUACUGGGCGUAAAGGGCGCGUAGGCGGCCUUCUAAGUCGAACGUGAAAUCCCCGGGCUCAACCCGGGAACUGCGUCCGAUACUGGGGGGCUUGAAUCCGGGAGAGGGAUGUGGAAUUCCGGGUGUAGUGGUGAAAUGCGUAGAGAUCCGGAGGAACACCAGAGGCGAAGGCGGCAACCUGGCUCGUUACUGACGCUCAUACACGACAGCAUGGGGAGCGAACGGG